UACGUAGGGGGCAAGCGUUGUCCGGAAUCAUUGGGCGUAAAGCGCGUGUAGGCGGCUCGGGUAGUCUGGUGUGAGAUCUUUCGGCUCAACCGGAAGCGGUCACUGGAUACUCUCGGGCUUGAAUCUGGAAGAGGAGAGUGGAAUUCCUGGUGUAGCGGUGGAAUGCGCAGAUAUCAGGAGGAACACCAAUGGCGAAGGCAGCUCUCUGGUACAUGAUUGACGCUGAGACGCGAAAGCGUGGGGAGCGAACAGG
rnacentral:rRNA from 1 species